GAAGAGAAUGUGGAGGCAAGACAAUGGAGGGGUUGGUUAGCACAGGAGGAGAGUACUCGUAUAUUAAUGGCUCUCAAUUGCCAAGGCAAAGCAGAAGGGUCGCAUCGGGAGAUAGGGGAUGAAAAAUGGCAAGACGCACGUUGAUGUUUAAUAAUAUAACAGUCUUUUGCAAGUGAAUAACACUGAAAUCACGGUGAAUUCUAGUAGAGAAAUAAAGAACUAAAUAGAAUUUGCGAGUACUAGAACAUGGAGAGAUAAACGAUCAACAUCAUUGCAAAUAUAAACGAUCUACAUAAUCUCCCUAGGGUUGCCCAGUGUAACAACCUAGCUUAAUUAAUCCAUGUUUAAGUCUUAAACAAGUCAUUAGUUCUUAAAGAAGAACUUUGGCAAGAAUAUAGGCAAGUGAAAG
rnacentral:lncRNA from 1 species